CACGUAGGGGGCGAGCGUUGUCCGGAUUUAUUGGGCGUAAAGGGCGCGCAGGCGGCCCGGAAAGUCGGAUGUGAAAACUCGGGGCUCAACCCCGAGCGUGCACCCGAUACUGCCGGGCUUGAGGCAGGUAGGGGAGAUCGGAAUUCCUGGUGUAGCGGUGAAAUGCGCAGAUAUCAGGAGGAACACCGGUGGCGAAGGCGGAUCUCUGGGCCUGUCCUGACGCUGAGGCGCGAAAGCUAGGGGAGCGAACAGG
rnacentral:rRNA from 1 species